UAAAUGGCGCACCCGAUUGCGGAGGCGAACGAACAAAGCCCCUUCGGCGCGUUGACCCCAGAGGCAUUCUAUUCCCGCCACAACGUCUCUCACGCCUCCGAGUACUUCACAAACCCUAGAGGCCUCAAGCGCUUCACCCAGUGGUGGACCCCGCUCCCUCCGACCGAGAUUGUAGGAACCCUCGCCAUCGUCCACGGCUUCACCGGCGAGACCAGCUGGUUCGUCCAGCUCACCGCCGUCCACUUCGCCAAGUCUGGCUUCGUCGUCUGCGCCAUUGAUCAUCAGGGUCACGGCUUCUCCGAUGGCCUCGCCGCCCACAUCCCCGACAUCAACCCCGUCGUCGACGACUGCAUCUCCUUCUUCGACUCAUUCCGAGCCAAUCACGCGCCGAAGAACCGCCCCUCGUUCCUCUACGCCGAGUCCCUCGGUGGCGCCAUCGCACUCCUCAUGACUUUCCGGCAGGGAAGCGGCGCGUGGGAUGGCCUCAUCCUCAAUGGCGCCAUGUGCGGGAUCAGCCCCAAGUUUAAGCCGCCGUGGCCGCUCGAGCACCUGCUAUUUCUCGUCGCCGCGGUGAUACCGACGUGGCGGGUUGUCCCCACCCGCGGAUCGAUUACGGACGUGUCGUUCAAGGAGGAGUGGAAGCGGAAGCUGGCGCUGGCGAACCCGAGGAGGCCGGUGGCGAGGCCUCGCGCAUCGACGGCUCUUGAGCUGCUGAGAGUGUGUAAGGAGCUGCAGGGGAGAUUCGAGGAGAUGGAGGUGCCGG
rnacentral:lncRNA from 1 species